AUUGAACGCUGGCGGCAGGCCUAACACAUGCAAGUCGAGCGGAUGAAGGGAGCUUGCUCCUGGAUUCAGCGGCGGACGGGUGAGUAAUGCCUAGGAAUCUGCCUGGUAGUGGGGGAUAACGUCCGGAAACGGGCGCUAAUACCGCAUACGUCCUGAGGGAGAAAGGGGGGGAUCUUCGGACCUCACGCUAUCAGAUGAGCCUAGGUCGGAUUAGCUAGUUGGUGGGGUAAAGGCCUACCAAGGCGACGAUCCGUAACUGGUCUGAGAGGAUGAUCAGUCACACUUGAACUGAGACACGGUCCCGACUCCUAACGGAGGCAGCAGUGGGGAAUAUUGGACCAUGGGCGAAAGCCUGAUCCAGCCAUGCCGGGUGUGUGAAGAAGGUCUUCGGAUUGUAAAGAACUUUAAGUUGGGAGGAAGGGAAGUAAGUUAAUACCUUGCUGUUUUGACGUUAACAAAAGAAUAAGCCCCGGCUAACUUCGUG
rnacentral:rRNA from 1 species